CGUUAGUUCCAUUGGGAAUAUUGUGUUAGAUCCUUAGUCACAAUUCUUUAUUUUGAAUCGGAGGUGAUGAUUAAAAAAAAACAAAACAAAAUGUGACACCAGAUGGAAGAGAAUGGCGAUGCACAUACUAAUUUUCUUUCCAUUCAUUUAUUCUUUAGAGGCCAAUGGUUGAGUGAUUGUAAAACUUAAUUAAAAGAAGUCAAACUAGUUUUUAG
rnacentral:lncRNA from 1 species